UACGGAGGAUGCAAGCGUUAUCCGGAUUUAUUGGGUUUAAAGGGUGCGCAGGCGGGAGAUUAAGUCGGUGGUGAAAUUUUGCAGCUUAACUGUAACAGUGCCAUUGAUACUGGUUUUCUUGAGUGUAGAUGAAGUAGGCGGAAUUUGUGGUGUAGCGGUGAAAUGCAUAGAUAUCACGAGGAACUCCGACUGCGCAGGCAGCUUACUAAACUACUACUGACGCUCAGGCACGAAGGCGUGGGGAUCAAACAGGAUUAGAUA
rnacentral:rRNA from 1 species